rnacentral:rRNA from 1 species
CCUACGGGGGGCAGCAGUGGGGAAUAUUGCACAAUGGGGGAAACCCUGAUGCAGCGACGCCGCGUGAAGGAAGAAGUAUUUCGGUAUGUAAACUUCUAUCAGCAGGGAAGAAAGUGACGGUACCUGACUAAGAAGCCCCGGCUAACUACGUGCCAGCAGCCGCGGUAAUACGUAGGGGGCAAGCGUUAUCCGGAUGUACUGGGUGUAAAGGGAGCGUAGGCGGCGAUGCAAGUCAGAAGUGAAAGCCCGGGGCUCAACUCCGGGACUGCUUUUGAAACUGUAUGGCUAGAUUGCAGGAGAGGCAUGUGGCAUUCCUAGUGUAGCGGUGACAGGCGUAGAUAUUAGGAGGAACACCAGUGGCGAAGGCGGCUUGCUGGACUGUAAAUGACGCUGAGGCUCGAAAGCGUGGGGAGCAAACAGGAUUAGAUACCCGUGUAGUC